UGACCAGCAGCGCCCUGCGGCGCCGCGCACCAGUACAUUAGCCCUCGCCUCGCUCCAUGGGGCUUGGAAGUGCGGGGUACUGACUACUGAGGCCUUGUUUGGCACUGGGAUAUUCGGGGGGAUUCGCGGGGAUUAUCCCGGCCCAACUCCAAAUCCCCGCUUUUCCCUGAGUAGUCCUUUGGUACUGGUGUUUUGGGGCAAAAAAUCCCAUGUCAUCCCCGGUCAUCCCCGUCCCCAAUCCACUUUUUGCCUAAGAUUAAAUCCACGCCCCUAGCCUCGCGUUAUCCCCGUCCCCAUCUUUCCCCGUCCAAAUUCUCGAGAGAGCUUCUCGCUAGCGACCGGCGACGAGUAGAACGGCGUCGAGCGGAGCGGCUGCGGGAGGGGAGGGAGAGGCGGAGCAUCUUACCCACGGGAGGGGAUGGAUCCUGCCUAGCCGCUCCUCAUCAGAUCGCCGCCGUUCUUGGAGUCCGACCGGCGCCGCCAUCUACUGCGGUUCCUCUCCGUUUGGCAGGUAAUUGCACAACAGGGAAGAAGAUUUUCAGUCCAGAUGAAGUAGUUGGAUGGAUUCAGUGUAGCUUCAGUUCAGAACGUACAUGUCGCUCACAUGCCAGCAAAAAGAAAACGCAUCUAGCCGCCGCCUCCCCCUAACCUCCCGGGUCGCCCCCGCCUGGGCGAUCCCGGAGGAACCACGCCGCCGCCUCCAGUCCGCCCCUCGCCGGCCCUGCCUGGCCGCUGCCGCUGCCCUCGCCGGCGGCGGUGGCGGCACCCUUCUCGCCAAAAGCGGAGGCCAGGGGAGGGCCCGUACGGCUUUGCAUCUGGGCGGGGGCGCAAGGUGUCGGCGGGCUUGGGUGAUCUGCAGAGGAGGGCUGCGGUGGGCAGCGCGGAGGUGUGGCGGCCGGCGGUGGUCUACGGCGGCAGUGAGGUUCCGGUGGCAGCGGCGGCUUGAUCUAAGCCGGGUCGGCUGCUUGGGCCGUUCCCACCAAGCCUGUAGCCGAGCAGGUUGCCUUCCUCGAUCGCGGCACGUCGUCUCCUCCUCUGCUGCCGGCCGAUGGCGUGGGGGCUGUUGGCGCGGCUGCUUUGAAUAAAGGUGGUUGUUCUAGGGUUCCUCUUGCGCGAAGAUGAAGAUCUGCCUGAGUGUGUCCUUCUUUGAUCUGGCCGGAGAGUUGAGUUCCGGAAGGGGUUGACAUUAGGAGUGCGGGUUAAUUUCUCUAGAACCAAAGGGUUAAACUGCAAACGACAGGAUUGAGGCUUAAUAGUAAAGAUUAUACAUUGUUUAAAUGCUCAUGCACAUGAAGUGGAGCAUCCAGGCUGUUUAUAUGUUGA